rnacentral:misc_RNA from 1 species
GUUUGUUUAAAUGUUUAAAUGAAUCGCUUAGCUGAGCAGAUUGCUGAGAAGGUGGAAGAGAACGAAAUAAAACUGAGUUUCUAGAUGUCCGUUUAGCUUCCAAUUAGUUUUCCAAAGAAAGAUGCACUUCAACUAACCCAAUUAGUUUUCUUUGAUUUGCUCUGAUAGAUGGUGAAAAAAGCUCACAUCUUUAUGUAUUGGUAUUUUCUCUUUCCUGGUAACGAAGUGAGAAUGUGAUGUGUAAUCAAACAAAAACUAUUAUAUCAAGCACUCAAACCUACAAAUUUCUUAGAAUGAGAAGGUGCGGUAACAUAUGGUGACAUUGUAAAUUAGAUCAGCUAUUUGAGAAU